AGGGACUUGGCGGAACUGUGGGUUGGGACUUGGACCUCUUAAGGAAGCCUACUGGCCUGCUAAGUCCCAAG
rnacentral:pre_miRNA from 1 species